UCCUCACUUCCGGUUCCCCACUUCCCGCUCCCCACCUCUCCUUAUUCUCCACAGCUCGGCUCUCUCAUGACUGUCAGAACGAGCAGGUGGCAGCUGCAGUGUCACCACGCUGAGCCGGUUACACACGGAGUAGUAUGCGGGCCGCACAACACAGAUACUCAGAAAUGCAGCAGUUUUGGAAACCAGAGCAGUGGGUUCAGCUUGGCGUGUGUGCCCAGGAGAUGGGGGUCUCUGUUGAGCUAACCACCCUUCGACCUUCCAGAGAACACAGAGAAGCUUUUAGUCAAAACAACCUUCCUGAGUGUCCAUGUCUUCUCCAGCUAUUCUGGUACCAUGCGUGUUUUGCAGUAAGGCCUUUAUCUCUUGGAUAGAGAGCACUUACAGGGAUGCUCCACACCUUCAUCCGUCUCCCCAGGUUGCAGCCAGCUGACCAGGCCGCCCCAAAAUCUCCCUCAUCACAAGUGGUGCUCAAUUGGGACGCCGUAGUUACCAAGGUGGUGGUGGGCGGCCAAGGUUCAGGAGGCUCGGGCAUCUCCAGGGAUUGAGAUGGAGCUGGCAUCAGGCAAGGGAGCACCCUCCCAGAGCUCAGGAGGAAGACUAGGCCAAGGUCCCUCUCCCAGGGCUAUUAACUAGGUGGACAGGGAAGCUGGGCCUGGCUUCCUUCCUUGAGUGUGCCUGCUCUUCACCUGUGACUUGACUGUCCUACUGAAGGUCAGCCUCCGUGAAGCUGCUGUGCUUUACCAGAUGGGGCCAGUGGAAGAUGUCAUCCUGGCUCUCAGAUUGCCCACUCGGAAUGGAGUGAGAAGCUCAUUUACCACAGGCCGGUGGUGUGAUAUGGGGCCUGCCCGGAGCUCUGCCAGUGGGCGCAGGAUGGACGUGCCAACUACCAGCACUCAAGCGGUGAUCAAGUACAGGCACGCACACCUCAGGAUGACUCGGGUGAAGAAUAUCUCGGGACUCUUGACCUCGGUGGGAGGAUACAGACUCCUUCGAUGCAUAUGUUAUUGCUGGGCCUGGCAGGAAGUUCCCUGCUCCCAGGCCUCUCUCUCUGCCUUGCACCCUCUCAUUUAACCCUCAGCCUAGCCUCAAGAGUGAAGAUGACCUAGUAAACGCACUGGCCUGAGGAUACCAAGGCACUGACACAGGUAAGGAGCUGCCUAGGCCUCCAGCUCCAGAGCGCAGGACUGCCUGGCUCCCCUGCUGUGCAUCUCCAGGGUUGCGGUGACCCCACUCAGGAGGAUGUGGAGCGUGAUGUGCAGAGAGGUCCGGCGUGGGGAGGGCCCUGGCCAGCUCACGGGGUCUGGACCUGCGGGAGCCAGACCAGGUACCUGCGGGAAGCCUUUCUGUGGUGAGCAACAGCAAACUCAAAUCGAACCAGCCUAAGCCAGAAGAGCCACUGAGAUAUUCUGGAGACUUGCUUUGAUCUAGGGGCUCAAGUGUCGUCACCAGCACACAGACCACCUUCUCUGCACUGGCUUCCUUCAUACGGCAGCUCUUCCCGCAAUGCCAUGCUUGUCCCCAGAUCAUGGCUCAGAGCCGGCAAGAACAGUCUGCCACCUCUUCCUGGAGAUCAUGGAAACCAGCAUUUCCUGGUUGGGCUCUGAGUCCCAGCUUGACUCAUUCUCAUCCUUGGCUAGUCGCACUGCUGGCCGGGAGCUCCCACCAGCCCAGCCAGUGUGGGAGAUGCGACUCCCAGAGCCCAGUCAAAGUCACGUUGAGUGCUGGGCUUAAGGAUCUGCUCAGGGAUGGGAAUAGAGACCCAGCUAUGGAAGGCGUGCAGGCCGAAGGGCUCGUGGGCAGCUGCCACACUCCAGGCUCAUCCCAAGCUUUGGCCAAACAGAAGGACUUGGCCUCAGAAAAAGCUACCCUCAGGGCCUGCUUAGCAAUGCCCACGGCCCUGGGGAGAGGGGGAAGGGGAAGGAGCCCAGUUGGUGUCGAAGACCUGCAGCCUGGAGGGAGCCUCAAGUUUCCAACCAGGUCCAGAAGAAAUGGGCAUACCCCCUUCUCCCAGGCUAACACCUGCCUGGCCUGCGCGGAGGGGUGGGAGCAGAAGGUCACCGCACCCACUGGUACCUCCUGGCUCACCCCUGCGCCGACUGCUGUGGAAGAAGUUCCCAGCCUCCCGGUGAGAACAGGGCACUAGCUAUUUUCAUCCUACACGGACGGCCCUGCGGACCUCCAGCCUUCCCCACGCUCGGGGGCCAGCCUCGCACAGAGCCACGCCCCCGUGGCCUGGGCCCCAGGAUGAGCGCUGGGAAAGGGCCAGGCCUGAGGGGGUGCUGGGUGCCACCCCUCUGGAGAAGCCUGGCUGGCAGGCACCCACAGUCAGGAGAGCUGCACACCCGCCCACAGCAGAGCGAGAGGAGUGUGUGCCACACACGGACGCGCUCAGCUUGUUAACCUAAUAGCAGCAGAGGAGGCUCCAGAGCGGCCAAUUAUGGUAGCAGCCACAGGCCCGUUCCCUGGACAGACUCCAUGAGGCCUACCCUCCUUCCCAAUCACACCUCCUCUAGUGCACUGUCCCAGGGAAGAGGAAUCCCACGCUGCAGGGCCGGGGGAGGCAGUAAUCCCCCUUCCUCAUCAUGUCCUCUUGGCCCUCCGAGCCUCCCCUUCCCAUUCCCCAGACCUUGAUUGUGUCGAUGCUGGCAUGUGGGGUGUACACGCACCCUCCCCUCAGCGUUCUCAGGGCUGAGAACACCCCACAGGGCCAGAGCCAUUUGACAGGUUAAUUUACAGUGCUUGGAAUUCGUUACAGAAUAAUUAUCUCAUCGAUUUGC